rnacentral:rRNA from 1 species
UACGGAGGGUGCGAGCGUUGUCCGGAAUCACUGGGUUUAAAGGGUGCGUAGGUGGGCUAGUAAGUCAGUGGUGAAAUCUCCGGGCUUAACCCGGAAACUGCCAUUGAUACUAUUAGUCUUGAAUACCAUGGAGGUGAGCGGAAUAUGUCAUGUAGCGGUGAAAUGCUUAGAUAUGACAUAGAACACCAAUUGCGAAGGCAGCUCGCUACGCGGUUAUUGACACUGAGGCACGAAAGCGUGGGGAUCAAACAGG